rnacentral:rRNA from 1 species
CAGCCGCCGCGGUAAUACGUAGGUCCCGAGCGUUGUCCGGAUUUAUUGGGCGUAAAGCGAGCGCAGGCGGUUAGAUAAGUCUGAAGUUAAAGGCCGUGGCUUAACCAUAGUACGCUUUGGAAACUGUUAAACUUGAGUGCAAGAGGGGAGAGUGGAAUUCCAUGUGUAGCGGUGAAAUGCGUAGAUAUAUGGAGGAACACCGGUGGCGAAAGCGGCUCUCUGGUCUGUCACUGACGCUGAGGCUCGAAAGCGUGGGUAGCGAACAGGAUUAGAUACCCCUGUAGUCCCUGUCUCUUAUACC